AGAGUUUGAUCCUGGCUCAGGAUGAACGCUGGCGGCGUGCUUUAUGCAUGCAAGUCGAACGAGAAGGGGCGGACUUCGGUCCGGCCUGGAGAGUGGCGAACGGGUGAGUAACACGUGAGUGACCUGCCCCGAGGUGGGGGACAACCGUGGGAAACCACGGCUAAUACCCCGUAGUCCUGUGCGUAUUGGUCGCGUACAGGUAUAGCUCCGGCGCCUCGGGAGGGGCUCGCGGUCGAUUAGCUAGUUGGUGGGGUAACGGCCUACCAAGGCGACGAUCGAUAGCUGGUCUGAGAGGACGAUCAGCCACACUGGGACUGAGAUACGGCCCAGACUCCUACGGGGGGCAGCAGCAAGGAAUAUUGGACAAUGGGCGCAAGCCUGAUCCAGCAACGCCGCGUGGAGGAAGAAGGCUUCGGUUGUAAACUCCUUUUGUGAGGGAUGAGACAAGGACAGUACCUCACGAAUAAGUCACGGCUAACUAGGUGCCAGCAGCCGCGGUAACACCUAGGUGACAAGCGUUAUCCGGAUUUACUGGGCGUAAAGGGCUCGAAGGCGGCAGUUCAAGUCCGGCGUGAAAUCUCCUGGCUUAACCAGGAGGGGUCGUCGGAUACUGUUCUGCUAGAGGCAGUGAGAGGGGUGCGGAAUUCUCGGUGGAGUGGUGGAAUACGUAGAUAUCGAGAGGAACACCAGUGGCGAAAGCGGCGCCCUGGCACUGACCUGACGUUCAUGAGCGAAAGCGUGGGGAGUGAACGGGAUUAGAUACCCCGGUAGUCCACGCUGUAAACGAUGAGUACUAGGUGUAGGCGACAACCGUGGUCUGUGCCGAAGCUAACGCGAUAAGUACUCCGCCUGGGGACUACGGCCGCAAGGCUAAAACUCAAAGGAAUUGACGGGGACCCGCACAAGCAGCGGAGCGUGUUGUUUAAUUCGAUGUAACGCGAAGAACCUUACCUGGGUUUGACAUGUGCGUAGUAGUGAAGCGAAAGCCGAACGACCCUUCGGGGAGCGUACACAGGUGUUGCAUGGCUGUCGUCAGCUCGUG
rnacentral:rRNA from 1 species